rnacentral:rRNA from 1 species
CGUGGAGAACCUGCCGUAUACUGGGGGAUAACACUUAGAAAUAGGUGCUAAUACCGCAUAAGCGCACAGCUUCGCAUGAAGCAGUGUGGAAAACAAAAAGCUAAAGCUUUUGGUGGUAUACGAUGGAUCCGCGUCUGAUUAGCUGGUUGGCGGGGUAGAAGCCCACCAAGGCGACGAUCAGUAGCCGGCCUGAGAGGGUGAACGGCCACAUUGGGACUGAGACACGGCCCAAACUCCUACGGAAGGCAGCAG